CACCCGCAGCUCGAGUGGUGGUCACUUUUAUUGAGCCUAAAGCGUUCGUAGCCGGCUCUGUAAAUCUUCAGACAAAUUCUUCUGCUUAACGGAAGAUCCUCUGGAGAGACUGCAGAGCUAGGGACCGGGUGAGGUUGAAGGUACUUCUGGGGUAGGGGUAAAAUCCUGUAAUCCUGGAAGGACGACCGGUGGCGAAGGCGUUCAACUAGAACGGAUCCGACGGUGAGGCACGAUGGCUAGGGGAGCAAACCGG
rnacentral:rRNA from 1 species